rnacentral:rRNA from 1 species
CGCAUCUGUGCAUGCAGUAUAUCAAUAAGCGGAGGAAAAGAAACUAACAAGGAUUCCCCUAGUAACGGCGAGUGAAGCGGGAAGAGCUCAAAUUUGAAAUCUUAAAGGGUUUCCCUUUACGAAUUGUAGUUUAAAGAAGUGUUUUCUGUUGAGGUUUUGGUAAAAGUUCUUUGGAAUAGGACAUCAUAGAGGGUGAGAAUCCCGUAUUUGACCUUUACUUUCAACUUUGUGAUACACUUUCAAAGAGUCGGAUUGUUUGGGAAUGCAGUCCAAAAUGGGUGGUAAAUUUCAUCUAAAGCUAAAUAUUGGCGAGAGACCGAUAGCGAACAAGUACCGUGAGGGAAAGAUGAAAAGAACUUUGAAAAGAGAGUUAAACAGUACGUGAAAUUGUCAAAAGGGAAGCGUUUGACACCAGUGUUGUUUUUCUGAAAAUCAAUUAAAGAACUGUUUAUGCUAAGUUGUUUAGACUUUAUCAGCUAACUGUUUAGUUUUGAGCUUUUCUUUAAUGCACUUUUCAGUUAACAAGUCAACAUCAAUUUCUUUUGCUGUAAAAAAGCUUGAGGAAGGUGGCUUGAGAUUCGUCUUAAGUGUUUAUAGCCUCUUGCCUAUGCAGUCGGAGAGAUUGAGGUCUGCAGCGUAGAUCCUUCGGGGCUAAAUGCAUUUGUGCUAAGUUAUAACAUUUUAUAGACAACUUGUUGACUAUGAUUUGUCUUGUAGCUUACUCGCUUAUGUUAUUUUACCUACGCUUAGGAUGUUGACAGCAGUAUAGACUG